rnacentral:rRNA from 1 species
UUAGAGUUUGAUCCUGGCUCAGGAUGAACGCUAGCGGCAGGCUUAACACAUGCAAGUCGAGGGGCAGCGAGAUCAGUGCUUGCACUGAUUGUCGGCGACCGGCGCACGGGUGCGUAACGCGUAUGCAACCUACCCAUUACAGGGGGAUAACACUGAGAAAUCGGUACUAAUACCCCAUAACAUCCAGGGAGGCAUCUUCUUGGGUUGAAAACUCCGGUGGUAAUGGAUGGGCAUGCGUUGUAUUAGUUAGUUGGUGGGGUAACGGCUCACCAAGACAACGAUACAUAGGGGGACUGAGAGGUUAACCCCCCACAUUGGUACUGAGACACGGACCAAACUCCUACGGGAGGCAGCAGUGAGGAAUAUUGGUCAAUGGACGCAAGUCUGAACCAGCCAUGCCGCGUGCAGGAAGACGGCUCUAUGAGUUGUAAACUGCUUUUGUACGAGGGUAAACGCAGAUACGCGUAUCUGUCUGAAAGUAUCGUACGAAUAAGGAUCGGCUAACUCCGUGCCAGCAGCCGCGGUAAUACGGAGGAUUCAAGCGUUAUCCGGAUUUAUUGGGUUUAAAGGGUGCGUAGGCGGUCGGAUAAGUUAGAGGUGAAAUCCCGGGGCUCAACUUCGGAAUUGCCUCUGAUACUGUUCGGCUAGAGAGUAGUUGCGGUAGGCGGAAUGUAUGGUGUAGCGGUGAAAUGCUUAGAGAUCAUACAGAACACCGAUUGCGAAGGCAGCUUACCAAGCUACUUCUGACGUUGAGGCACGAAAGCGUGGGGAGCAAACAGGAUUAGAUACCCUGGUAGUCCACGCAGUAAACGAUGAUAACUCGUUGUCGGCGAUACAGUGUCGGUGACUAAGCGAAAGCGAUAAGUUAUCCACCUGGGGAGUACGUUCGCAAGAAUGAAACUCAAAGGAAUUGACGGGGGCCCGCACAAGCGGAGGAACAUGUGGUUUAAUUCGAUGAUACGCGAGGAACCUUACCCGGGCUUGAAAGUUAGUGACGGAUCUUGAAAGAGGUCUUCCCUUCGGGGCACGAAACUAGGUGCUGCAUGGUUGUCGUCAGCUCGUGCCGUGAGGUGUCGGGUUAAGUCCCAUAACGAGCGCAACCCCUACCGUUAGUUGCCAGCAGGUCAAGCUGGGCACUCUGACGGGACUGCCGGUGUAAGCC